rnacentral:lncRNA from 1 species
GUUUCAGUUAGGGUCUGGUUUAGAGAUAGGUUUAGUGUUAAAUGCAGGGUCAGUGUUCAGGUUAGAGAUAGAGUUAAGGUUUAAGCCAGAAUUAUGAUUAGGUUUAUGUCUAGGAUUAGGUUUAGUCUUUGUGUUAGGUUAAGGGUUAUUGUUAGGGCUAGGACUAGGGGUUAUUUUUAGGUCUAGGGCUAGAGUUAAGAUACAUUGAGAAUCAUGUUUAGGUCUAUGGCUCAUUAUAGGGUUAGGUUUAGGUGUAAGUAUUGAUAGGGCUAGUGUUAAUGUUUUGUCUAGAGUUAGGGUCAGGUUUAGACCUAGGGUUAUUCUGACCAUAACACUUUAUGGUCAGAAUAAGGUUCAGGGUUAGAGUUAGGGUUAGGGUUUGGAAUAGGGUUAGAGCAAGAGUGAGGGCUAGGUUUAGGACUAGUAAUUGAGUUAGGGAUAUUGUUAAACUUAGGAUUAGGGAUAGGUCUAGGGUUACCAUUAGGGUUAGCAUUUUGCUUAUGGUUAGGGAUAGGGUUAGAGCUAGUAUUAGGGGUAGCAUUUGGGUUAGGGUUAAAGGUAGAUUUAGGGCUCAGUUAGGGCUAGUUUUUUCUGUUAGGUUUAGGGCUAAGAUGAG